rnacentral:rRNA from 1 species
AGUGAACGCUGGCGGUAGGCCUAACACAUGCAAGUCGAACGGCAGCACAGUAAGAGCUUGCUCUUACGGGUGGCGAGUGGCGGACGGGUGAGGAAUACAUCGGAAUCUACUUUUUCGUGGGGGAUAACGUAGGGAAACUUACGCUAAUACCGCAUACGACCUACGGGUGAAAGCAGGGGAUCUUCGGACCUUGCGCGAUUGAAUGAGCCGAUGUCGGAUUAGCUAGUUGGCGGGGUAAAGGCCCACCAAGGCGACGAGCCGUAGCUGGACGGGGCGGAGGGUCGGCCCCCCUGGAACUGGAACACCGGCCACACUCCUACGGGAAGCAGGAGUAGGCAAUUAUGGGCAAUAGGGGGAAGGCUGGUUCAACCAUUCCGCGUAGGUUGAAGAAGCCUUCCGGUUGUAAAGCCCUUUUGUUGGGAAAGAAAAGCAGCAGGUUAAUACCCCGCUGUUCUGACGGUACCCAAAGAAUAAGCACCGGCUAACUUCGUG